rnacentral:rRNA from 1 species
CUCGAGUGGCGAACGGGUGAGUAACACGUGGGUGAUCUGCCCUGCACUUCGGGAUAAGCCUGGGAAACUGGGUCUAAUACCGGAUAGGAGCCAUUUUUAGUGUGAUGGUUGGAAAGUUUUUUCGGUGUAGGAUGAGCUCGCGGCCUAUCAGCUUGUUGGUGGGGUAAUGGCCUACCAAGGCGGCGACGGGUAGCCGGCCUGAGAGGGUGGACGGCCACAUUGGGACUGAGAUACGGCCCAGACUCCUACGGGAGGCAGCAGUGGGGAAUAUUGCACAAUGGGCGCAAGCCUGAUGCAGCGACGCCGCGUGGGGGAUGACGGCCUUCGGGUUGUAAACUCCUUUCGCUAGGGACGAAGCUUUUUGUGACGGUACCUAGAUAAGAAGCACCGGCUAACUACGUGCCAGCAGCCGCGGUAAUACGUAGGGUGCGAGCGUUGUCCGGAAUUACUGGGCGUAAAGGGCUCGUAGGUGGUUUGUCGCGUCGUCUGUGAAAUUCCGGGGCUUAACUCCGGGCGUGCAGGCGAUACGGGCAUAACUUGAGUACUGUAGGGGUAACUGGAAUUCCUGGUGUAGCGGUGAAACGCGCAGAUAUCAGGAGGAACACCGAUGGCGAAGGCAGGUUACUGGGCAGUUACUGACGCUGAGGAGCGAAAGCAUGGGUAGCGAACAGGAUUA